rnacentral:lncRNA from 1 species
AUUCUUUGUUCAGGACAGGAAUCGGAAAAAUCUCUAGAAGGAGCCCCCAGCACCCCAGACAGACCUCAGUAACAGUCUUGGUGAGCCCAGCCAGGAGGUAAGAGUGGUUGUUUUGUUUGCAGGUGAGAAAAGUGGCCCACGUCUGGCUACCUGCACCCUGCUGCAUGUGCUGCUUGCCUCAUACCUCUCCCCACCACCACCACCACACCUCGAAGUCAGGAUCUGGAUGUGGAUGAGAGAAGGGCUGAGAAAAAAAAAAGACCAAAAUGUAUGGCUUUCACAAAUGGCAGUACUUUAAGCAAACUGAAGGGAAAGAAGUCAGCCAUUCUCCUCGUGGCCACUAUAAGCUACUUUCUCAAUCAGAGAAAAGAGUUCCUGCUAAUAAAAGAAAAUUGGACACUGG